rnacentral:rRNA from 1 species
GAUGAACGCUGGCGGCGUGCCUAAUACAUGCAAGUCGAGCGAACAGACGAGGAGCUUGCUCCUCUGACGUUAGCGGCGGACGGGUGAGUAACACGUGGAUAACCUACCUAUAAGACUGGGAUAACUUCGGGAAACCGGAGCUAAUACCGGAUAAUAUAUUGAACCGCAUGGUUCAAUAGUGAAAGACGGUUUUGCUGUCACUUAUAGAUGGAUCCGCGCCGCAUUAGCUAGUUGGUAAGGUAACGGCUUACCAAGGCAACGAUGCGUAGCCGACCGGAGAGGGUGAUCGGCCACCCUGGAACUGAGACACGGUCCAGACUCCUACGGGAGGCAGCAGUAGGGAAUCUUCCGCAAUGGGCGAAAGCCUGACGGAGCAACGCCGCGUGAGUGAUGAAGGUCUUCGGAUCGUAAAACUCUGUUAUUAGGGAAGAACAAAUGUGUAAGUAACUAUGCACGUCUUGACGGUACCUAAUCAGAAAGCCACGGCUAACUACGUG